GGGAGCAACGGUUAGCGUCUGAUACCAGAGAAAAGCAUCAUCAGUCUCAGUGAAUAUAACAUAGUAAACGGAUUUUAUCUCAAAUUUAAUCUCGAUUACAGAUAGCAGAUAACGAGAAUCUGAAGAACAUGAAGACGGACUGGUUUCACAUGCAGAUGUUGCAGCAUCUGCAUCUGAUAUUGAGAAGACACUCAAUCUACCUGCCAAUCCUCAUCUGAUUUUGCUGGGUUAGUGUGUCAUUACACAUGAUAAAGAGACAUUUACUGAUGUUUAAGAUAUAAAAUUGUAACAUUGCUGUUGUGCACAAUUGUUAAAAUUGUUUUUUUUUUUUUUUUUUUUUUUGUGAGUGUCCAGUCAACACUUUUGACUGCAGUUGCAACAGUGUUUUCUGUGUACUACAUCUUCAACCUGCAGUAUCAAGAGGCGGCUUGUUGCACGUAAGAAAUGUAAGUAUGAUUCUAUGGAAUAAACCCAGAAAGAGGCUCAAAGACCUGCAGAGGCAAGGUAGUGUCCAAGAAGACGGGGAAGGUGGUGAAUAAGAAGUCUACUACAGUCAAUCCAAAGGUUGCCUCUUUACUAAGAAAUCUAAUGGACUUCAAAUGGGAUUUCAUC